rnacentral:rRNA from 1 species
CAACGACUCUCGGCAACGGAUAUCUCGGCUCUCGCAUCGAUGAAGAACGUAGCGAAAUGCGAUACUUGGUGUGAAUUGCAGAAUCCCGUGAACCAUCAAGUCUUUGAACGCAAGUUGCGCCCGAAGCCGUCAGGCCGAGGGCACGUCUGCCUGGGCGUCACGC